UCUUGCACAAUGGGGGAAACCCUGNUGCAGCGACGCCGCGUGAGCGAUGAAGCCCUUCGGGGUGUAAAGCUCUUUCGGCAGGGAAGAUAGUGACGGUACCUGCAGAAGCAGCUGCGGCUAACUACGUGCCAGCAGCCGCGGUAAUACGUAGGCAGCAAGCGUUGUUCGGAGUUACUGGGCGUAAAGGGUGUGUAGGCGGUUGUUUAAGUUUGGUGUGAAAUCUCCCGGCUCAACUGGGAGGGUGCGCCGAAUACUGAAUGACUAGAGUGCGGGAGAGGAAAGUGGAAUUCCUGGUGUAGCGGUAAAAUGCGUAGAUAUCAGGAGGAACACCGGUGGUGUAGACGGCUUUCUGGACCGUAACUGACGCUGAGACACGAAAGCGUGGGUAGCAAACAGGAUUAGAUACCCUGGUAGUCCACGCCCUAAACGAUGCAUAUUUGGUGUGGGCAGUUCAUUCUGUCCGUGCCGGAGCUAACGCGUUAAAUAUGCCGCCUGGGGAGUACAGUCGCAAGGCUGAAACUCAAAGGAAUUGACGGA
rnacentral:rRNA from 1 species